GUGGCCAUAGUGUAGCUCGGUUAGCAUUAGGGACUGUGGAUCCCUCGGGGCGGGUUCAAAUCCCGCUGGCCACC
rnacentral:tRNA from 1 species